rnacentral:rRNA from 16 species
GGAUGCGAUCAUAUCAGCACUAAAGCACCGGAUCCCAUCAGAACUCCGAAGUUAAGCGUGCUUGGGCGAGAGUAGUACUAGGAUGGUUGACCUCCUGGGAAGUCCUCGUGUUGCAUUCC